ACGUAGGACGCAAGCGUUAUCCGGAGUUACUGGGCGUAAAGGGCAGGCAGGCGGGCUGAUAAGUCGGAUGUGAAAUCUCCCUGGCUUAACCGGGAGGGUGCAUUUGAGACUGUCAGCCUGGAGGGCAGCAGAGGAGCGUGGAAUUCCGGGUGGAGUGGUGAAAUGCGUAGAGAUCCGGAGGAACACCAGAGGCGAAAGCGGCGCUCUGGGCUGCACCUGACGCUGAGGCGCGAAAGCUAGGGGAGCAAACGGGA
rnacentral:rRNA from 1 species